CGCUAAUACCGCAUAUUCUGUGAGCAGGAAAGCAGGGGAUCGCAAGACCUUGCGCUGAUUGAGCGGCCGAUAUCAGAUUAGCUAGUUGGUGAGGUAAAGGCUCACCAAGGCGACGAUCUGUAGCGGGUCUGAGAGGAUGAUCCGCCACACUGGAACUGAGACACGGUCCAGACUCCUACGGGAGGCAGCAGUGGGGAAUUUUGGACAAUGGGCGCAAGCCUGAUCCAGCCAUGCCGCGUGAGUGAAGAAGGCCUUCGGGUUGUAAAGCUCUUUCGGCCGGGAAGAAAUCGCACAGGUUAAUACCCUGUGUGGAUGACGGUACCGGAAUAAGAAGCACCGGCUAACUACGUG
rnacentral:rRNA from 1 species